UACGUAGGGUGCGAGCGUUGUCCGGAAUUAUUGGGCGUAAAGAGCUCGUAGGCGGUCUGUCGCGUCGGUCGUGAAAACCUGCAGCUUAACUGUGGGCGUGCGGUCGAUACGGGCAUGACUGGAGUUCGGCAGGGGAGACUGGAAUUCCUGGUGUAGCGGUGAAAUGCGCAGAUAUCAGGAGGAACACCGGUGGCGAAGGCGGGUCUCUGGGCAGUAACUGACGCUGAGGAGCGAAAGCGUGGGGAGCGAACAGG
rnacentral:rRNA from 1 species